rnacentral:rRNA from 1 species
UNUGACUUGAGUGCAGAAGGGGAGAGUGGAAUUCCAUGUGUAGCGGUGAAAUGCGUAGAUAUAUGGAGGAACACCAGUGGCGAAAGCGGCUCUCUGNUCUGUCACUGACGCUGAGGCUCGAAAGCGUGGGUAGCGAACAGGAUUAGAUACCCUGGUAGUCCACGCCGUAAACGAUGAGUGCUAGGUGUUAGGCCCUUUCCGGGGCUUAGUGCCGGAGCUAACGCAAUAAGCACUCCGCCUGGGGAGUACGACCGCAAGUUGAAACUCAAAGGAAUUGACGGGGGCCCGCACAAGCGGUGGAGCAUGUGGUUUAAUUCGAAGCAACGCGAAGAACCUUACCAGGUCUUGACAUCCCGAUGCUAUUCUUAGAGAUAGGAAGUUACUUCGGUACAUCGGAGACAGGUGGUGCAUGGUUGUCGUCAGCUCGUGUCGUGAGAUGUUGGGUUAAGUCCCGCAACGAGCGCAACCCUUAUUGUUAGUUGCCAUCAUUAAGUUGGGCACUCUAGCGAGACUGCCGGUAAUAAACCGGAGGAAGGUGGGGAUGACGUCAAAUCAUCAUGCCCCUUAUGACCUGGGCUACACACGUGCUACAAUGGUCGGUACAACGAGUUGCGAGCCGGUGACGGCAAGCUAAUCUCUGAAAGCCGAUCUCAGUUCGGAUUGAAGGCUGCAACUCGCCUCCAUGAAGUCGGAAUCGCUAGUAAUCGCGGAUCAGCACGCCGCGGUGAAUACGUUCCCGGGCCUUGUACACACCGCCCGUCACACCACGAGAGUUUGUAACACCCGAAGUCGGUGAGGUAACCUUUUAGGGGCCAGCCGCCUA